AUUUUUCUUGCGCGCAAACGACAGUCGCGCGCAGUCAUAUUCGUCUCGCUCUUCCGUUCUCUGCUCCGUUAAUAUAUAUUCCGAUACUUCGAAAAUUCAUUUUUAUCACAACUCUUUAAAUCGUUCGUCCUCACAAUGAGGUUGACAGUGGUCAUAGGUCUACUGUCACUCUGCAGUUUUCUUUAAUUUGGUUUAUCCGAGAGAAUAUUCUUGAACAUGUUGGGAAUGAUAACGGAGAGCGGGUUAUCCCGCAGAAGCUCAUGUUAUAACGACGGAGGAUGGCUAUCUCUUGUCGUGACAUCGUAUCCCAGGUGGCAACAAUUCUCGACCCGUACUGAUGCUGCAUGCUUUCUUAUGCACCUCCGCCGAUUGGGUCCUCCUUGGCAAGGACAAAGCACUCGCUUAAUCAAUUAGGGGAUCAGGGAUACGAUGUUUGGUUAGGCAAUUAUCGUGGUAAUACUUAUUCGAGGACGCAUAUUUUCUUAUCUCCGUCGGAUUUAAAAUUUUGGGAUUUCAGCUUUCAUGAAUUGGGCAUGUAUGAUUUACCUGCAAUGAUUACAUUUAUCACAAAUAUGACAUCUCAGCCAUUGCACGCGUACAUUGGUCAUUCGAUGAGCGCAACUGGUUUUUAUAAUGGCAUCAGAACGUCCAGAAAUGGUUCAAAUGGUGAAAAUGAUGAUCAAUUUCGCCCCAGGAGUCUUUAUAAAUAAUGUGAAAAGCCCGAUAUUAAACUAUAUUGCACCUUUCUGGAGAAAAAUAAAGAUGAUAGUGCGACUUUUUUUUCACGACGAAUUCCUGCCACAGAGCAAUUUCUUGAGAUUUCUUGUGAAAUACGCUUGCGACCAGAAUCUCGCAGAGCGAAAAUUAUGCGCCGACUUCAUAUUUGCGGUCUGCGGUUUCGACCGCGAGCAAUUUGACUACGUGAGUUAUGACUUGCGAUCAAAAUAUUAUUCCGAUCAAAACUUCGAUCAUUACGUUCUAUCAUUUGAAGAUCCUCCGAUCGCGCUUCAAAUUAAAAUUUAGGAUAUACCCUAUUUAGACUCUAUUAUCCUGUCAUCCUGAGUCACGAUUAUGACUAAGCAUAACCCUUUAAUUGUGAAUAAGUCAAGCUUUAACGUAAAAUCGGAAAAAUAGUUUGAAAGAAAUCGCACGCGAUGAUUCACGAAAGAAUUUUUUCAAGGAUGUCAAAAGGCUUUACCGCAUAUUGCCGAAUGUAGUGGACAUAUACGAAGUACCGUUGCCCAAAUUUAAUCACGUGGAUUUUGUAUGGGCCAAGGAUGCGCCCAAACUCGUGUACGAGAGAGCACUCAAACUUAUAAAUGCGGAAAAUCCAAAUAAUAUUACGUUGGUAUAAGGUUAUUUUGAUAAUCAAAAUAAAUGAUGAAUAUUGCAUACUAUAUCUUUAGUAAUUUUAAUAUGAUCGAUAGCAGUC